AGUCUAACGCGAUGAUCCCGCAUCGGUGGGAGCUCCAAGACUCUCUUAAGUAGCUCCCCCGACGAGGCCUGAUCAGGAGCAGGUGUGUGGCUUCGGGUGUGCCCAGUCCGCCAGCAGGGCCACACCUACCAGGCCUGAAGGCGCCCGCAAACCGGCGCUCGCAGAAACACAUAUACACAAACACACACACACACACACACACAUCCGCAAACAGGGAGAAGAGAGACAGCAACACCAAAUAUACAUACAAUAACACAAGUCCAUGACUGCCCAGGGAUCCUGGGUCGCUCAGACCCAGGACCCUGACAAUACCAGUUUAAGGUCAUUGUAGUCUUGGGCCCUCCUUGAAAGUAAUCUUAAACCAACCGCCUUCACAGAACAUGAGGCUCUCAUAUUGAUCUGCUCAGAGUUUCCACUUCAGCGUCCUCCUAUAUUUGUUUUUGGCAUUCUUGAUUGAUGCCUUUGUUGAAGUGUUCUCACCUCCUACUUUUUCCAGCCCUGAAGGCUCUCAUCUUCCUGUUGAGGAGUGUUUUGAUGUUCUUUGUUAUCUUUUGUUUUCUUGGAUAACACAGACUCUGUUGGAAUUAUGGAUUCAGUGCAGAAAUGUACAUAGUCCAUGGUUAAUUCUGUGAUCCCAUCAAAAUCCUCUCCCUGCAACUCACAGAGAGCUUAGUAGUCAGGCACCUCAAAACAGUCCUGCAGAGCCACAAGAGGGUCCUCUGACUGUCACAGCCUGACUUCUGACUAGAGCGGUGUGGCAGGGGUGAAGUUAACUAUACUUGUAUUUAAACUACUAAAUAGGUGUAGGGGAAAGGAGCUGUAUGCAACCUUUAUGUUUGUAUACAGCAGAUCUGUUGUUCUCUCCUCUCUGAUGGUUUUCUGCCAUGUAAGACAACUUUUUAGGAAUUGUGAUUUGAAAAAAAAAAACUACUUAAAAGAUUUCUGUAAAAUAAAUAUAAAUAUAUCAAAUGUAUACAUUUAUUAUUGGAACAAUAACAAUCUAUACGUCCUCUUGAGCCAUAGAAAAUUAACUCACCAGCUAAUUAAUUAUGUACACCUGUACACAGUAUACCCAUCUUCUGAAGGUUGCUUCCAGCAGGAUAAUGCACCAAAAAAGUUCAGCUCAAACCAUCCCCAUCCCCUGAAAGAUCAAACCAUCUCAAAUUCGUUUCUUGAACAUGGCAGCCAGUUCACUGUAGCAACUGUGUGAUGCUAUCAUGUCACUAUAGACCAAAAUCUCUGAGGAAUGCCUUCAGCACAAGGUGCUGAAGGCAAAUGGGGAUCCAAACAAGUGCUUGCAAGGUUUACUUAACAAUGUGUUUUGUGAGUGUGUUUACUAGUUCUAAUGUUAUAUGUUAAUUAAGUAAAUACUUUAACUCUAGCUCUCUAAUUAAAUCUGGUAAAUUCAAUCUCGGGAAGGCAACCAUUUGUCCCGGAAAAAAAAGAUCAGUUUCAUUGAAACCAAGAUAACCGCAGCUGUUACUGUAACCACUAAAGACCUUAGUCCUUCAACUCAGCAUUUUUUAGUGUAUUUUACUUGACAUUUUUCAUUCAUUUAUGGAUUUUACUACAACUGUUUCCAGUGAAAACCCCCAAAAUAAAGGCAAUCAUAGAUCAUAACUAUAGGCACUUUCACUAGUAAUUUUCAGUAGUCUAGUUGUACAAGAUGUUUGAUUGUACUGAUUUAGUUCACAGAAAGUAUUCCUUUUUCUUAUUUAAUGUUUUGAUUUUUAUAAAUACAGAGUAAACCUAGGACCUUCUUGAUACAAAGCAGCUGAUGCACCAGUGUGCUGUACUGGCUAACAUGUGUAAAACUCAAGCUUUAGAGCACAGUGCACAGUGAUGAAGCACUGUGGUGGGGUGUGGUUUGUGGCUCAGCUGCAGGGGAGGGUUGAUGCAGUCAGUUCAGGAGCAGUGCCAGGGGAGGCUGGCUUGCACAGCUGCCAGCCAUCAUCUAAUCAUGCCUCUCCUUCACAGUGUAGGAGGCUGGGACUGAGGUUAGUGUGGAGAGAGAAGACCAAAGCUGGCAGAAGAGAGACUGCAGCAGUGGACUAGAGCUGACCGGGUGUUAUUGUACAAGUAGUAUAGAGCAAAAACUGUGUGUAAUAAAGAAAAUGCGUAUUGAAUGAUAAACACAAGUGUUCAAAGCGCAUAGCAAAAGAUGUGCAUCAAGCACCUUUUCCAGGUUCCUGGGGUUUAUACCCAGAUUUUAUAACAACUCUGCUUGUGUGAAGAAGCAUGUAAGACAUAGUAGGACUGGCACAGUACAGUGCAGUGGUUAAAAGAUAAAAAGAAGCAGUGUGCACAGAUACAAAAGGGGGUUAAAAAAAAGCUGGCUAGCUAGCCAAGCUAAAAGCUAACCUAUUUGGACCAACAUGCGCUCCUUGUACAACAAGGUGGAGUUAAUUCACCUGAGGCUGGGAGAUGAUGAACUGUGCUGUACUUUGUGCAUGUCUACCCUGACUAGAACAACGGGAUGCCAGACUCUCCUUCUACAUCAACAGCCUGCUACUUUUUCCAUGUGGACUAAAACCAUCUGUCAGAAAACUAGAGGAGGAAAUCUGUUUAUGUACAUAAACAAAGAUCUUCCUGGACCCCUGCCAUGUUUGCGUGAGUGAGAGUGAGUCACUGCGAGGGAUUGGACUGAGUGUGUUUUGAGUCACAGAUGGUACGAAGAGGAGUGUGAAUGUGUUACCCCUGCCCUGGACCUCUCCCUUGGAAUCCCUGGAGCCCUCAUCCCCUGAUCACUGUAUAUGUGUAUAUAAUUCACCUGAUAUUGUAAAUAAAUCUCCCUUUGAUUGCACAGCUCCGAGUCCUGCAUUUGAGUCCUGCCUUAAUCCAACAUGACAGAACAAUCUAGCCACGAUGGACUCAGCAGACGACUCAGUACGCCGGGCCGGGUGUCACGAGCAGAUGCUGCUCCACAUCAAUAAGGAACUAACUGCUCUCACACAAGCCCUAGCUCCGCGUACUCCACUGGUAAGCUCACCUCCAACCCUUCUCCACCACUGGAUUUUCAGACUGCUUCUGCGCCACCUGCCACUCCGCCAUUGAUGAGGGCUUUGAUGUUCCUAGUCACCCACGGUUUGUUAUUUGGGUAACAAUGAAGAGUUCAAGAUUGGACAACGGAGUCAAUGUAGAAGGUUAUGUAGUCACUGAGUGUGUCAGUAAGCCCAUUGAUGUCCCGAUGUCUGUGAAAAUCCAUGAUGUCUCCUACUCCAUCAUCCUUAGUACUGGUUUCCCUCAGGGAUGUGUGCCGAGUUCCUUCCUGUUUAUUCUACUGACAUACACUAAUCAGGCAUAACAUUAUGACCUCUGGAAGAUGACGUGAAUAACACUGAUGUUCUCUUCAUCGUGACAGCUGUUAAUGAGUGGGAGCAAGUAAACAUUUUGUCCUCAAAGUUUAUGUGUGAGAAGGGCCAGUGCAAGGAUUUGAGCAAGUCUGAAAAGGGCUAAAUUGUGAAGGCUAGAUGACUGGGUUAGAGCAUCUCCAAAACUACAGCUCUUGUAGGAUGUUCCCAGUCUGCAGUGGUCAGAAUCUAUCAAAAGUGGUCGAAGGAAGGAACAGUGGUAAACCAGCAACAAGUUCAUGUGCUGCCAUGGCUCACUGAUGCAUUUGGGUAGUGAAGCCUGGCCUGUGUGGUCUGACUCAACACAGGAGUUACUGUAGGUCAAAUUGCCAAAAGAGUUCAGGCUGGUACUGAAAGAUAUCAGCCUGCAUCACCAUAAUUAAUGUUGUUCCAAGCUCAAAAUCGCAAGUAACUAAUCACAUUGUAAUGAUGUCAUAGUUUUUCUGUGUGGAAAAAAAAACAACCUGUCAUUGUCUACAGAGGAAAAAUCCAACAAAGGGUCAGGAUUAGGAAUGGGGGUUAGGAUGUAAUUAGGGUUUAGGGGCUAUAGUUCUGGUUAUGAUUCCAUGUCACAAAACUAUGACAUCACACCAAUGAGAAAAAAGUCUAAGCUAUUGGUCACUUGCAAUCUCAACCUAGACCAACAUUAAUUUUAAUGAUCCAGGAACAACAACACAGGAAAAUAAGAUUGUGCUCAGGAUGCCCAUGCUGACCCUUAUCAAUUGCCUAAAGCACCAACAAUGAGCACCAUGAAGCAAUGGAAGAAGGUAGUCUCGUCUGAUUAAUCACCUUUUUUGUGUUACAUCACAUGGUGUGUGGUGUGGGGUGUGCGCAUUGCUUACUGUGGGACACCUGAGAUCAGGAUACACUGACACUGGUGGAAAAUCUUGGUUCCUUCCAUCCAUGAGGAUGUUACCUUGACACAUACCACGUACCUAAGCAUUGUUGCAGACCCUGCACAUUCUUUUAUAGAAACAGUAUUCCCUGAUGGCUGUGGCCUCUUUUGCCAGGAUAAUGUGGCCUGCCACAAAGCAAAAAUGGUUCAAGAAUGGAGGGAACAAAAAGUCUAAGCUGUUGACUUGGCCUCUAAAUUUCCCAGAAUUCAAUCCAAUUAAGCAUCUGUGGGAUGUGCUGGAAAACAAGUCUGAUCUAUGGAGGCUCCAACUCACAACUUGUGGUUUUUAAAGGAUCUGCUCCUAACAGUUUGCUGCCAGAUAUCAGACCACACCUUGACAAGUCAAGGCUGUUUUGGCAACAAAAAAAGUUCCAACACAAUAUUAAGCAGGUGGCCACCUGAUGACUGCUAAAAAAACAUCACACCAGUCAAUUGUGAAAUUUGCAGAUGACACAGCAAUUGUGGAAUGCAGCACCAAAAAUGAUGACCGAGAUCACAGGCAGGAGGUAAAGCAGCUGGAGAUUCGGUGCAGGGAUCUCUGCAUCAGUGUCAUGAAAACAAAGGAGAUAAUUAUUUCAGUAGCAGCAAAACCUUCCCUCCACCCAUUUACAUUAGGGGAGCAGCUGUGGAAGUGGUCUCCAGCUUUAUGUAUCUUGGUACACAUCCCACUAAAGACCUUAACAUUUUCUGGUACACCAUAACCUCUACUUUCUCAGGACAAAGCACAACUUUUGAAUUACAAUGUAAAUUGAGGAACAGCUUCUUCCUGAGGGCUGUUGAACUCUGUUGCCAUCUCAUUUCUGCUGCUCGCAGCCCGAAGGGUGAGACAUGUGAAUCCACUUGUCUUUGCACUAUCCGCGCCACACACUGUUUUCUUAAACUUAAAAACAACUGUUUUCUAAUAUACACUUCAACUGUAAAUAUCUCGGUAUUCCUUAUUUCUGUAUAUUUUGCUAUUACUUUUGGUGGCUUUAACCAGCACUUGAGUGCAAAGUUCAUUUCACCUCAUGAAAAUACGUGUGCUGGAAUGACAAAAUUGCUGCAAUCCUAACUAAUCUGACUUUUUUAAAUAGUUAAGGUUAGGUAUCCAACACUGAACCCCAAGUUUCACAGUAGUAAUAUCACCAGUGUCUGUCUAAUCUUCUGUAAAAAGAAAAAAAAUAUACAGGGUAAUCUUCUACCCGGUCUAUAAAUGGACUGAAACACAUAGCACUUUUUUUUUUUUGCUUUUAUCCAGCACUCAAAGCACUUUUUUUUUUUUUUUUUUUAACACCAGUGCAAGCACCAUCCAUAGACACAUGAUUUACUCUCAUACACACACACACACACACACGCAAACUCACAUUAGGGGAUAUUUGGGGUGCAUCUUACUUAAGGACACUUCAACAUGUGUGCAGAAGCUGGGGGAUUAAACUCAGGCCUCCUCCAAAUCCUGACCCACCAUAAACAAGAACAAUUUCAGAGGCCAUAUGCGAAAAGUAAGGAACUAGUGAGUAAUGUAACAGGGUCCAUCCUGAUGUGAUUGAAGAAUAAAGGUAUUAGUACUUCUACUACAACCAAAAAAUCCAUUAGCAAAUUACCUAAACAAACUUUAAAUAUUUAAGUCUUCUAAAGCUGACUUCAGCAUGGUUGAACAUGUAUUUGACACCAGAAGUUCUCAAAAAGGCAAGUCCAUUGUGUUUUAUCUAAAAAAACAGACCCCCCAUGUAUUUCUCCUUUGUCGACUAUGUGAAAAUGGUCAUCAUCUUGAGUUCUCAAAUUGAUAAUGGUCUUUAUCAAAAAGAAAAAAACUGUGGGAGAACGAAUUUUGGAAAAACUUUAGGUAGACCAUUUCUGAUCAUUUUAAUUUUGGUUGGUGAAUUCCUCCAAUCAGCUGUUCCUGUUAAAUUAGUCCUUUUCCUGUCAAGCUGAAAAUUUUACAGCUUCCAUUCUGUUAGUUUUUCCCCAAAGCAAACAAAUACACAAAGACACAGAUAGCUUUCCUAACUGACUUUACUUCUUAGUUAAAUGCAGGAACUCAAAUUUCUCAAAAGUAACAUCAGUUUAUGGAAAGAAAAUUCAAUCAGAAUAUCUUUUGAGUGUACAAGAUAUUUUUCUUUAUCAAAAAGCACCCUUUGACAAUCAAAGGAAAAGAAACUAAAAAUUACAAAAUUAUAUAUAUAGAUAUAUAUACUUUUUACAUGAACGGUCAUACCAUACAAAAUAUCAAUGGAUUAAAAUGACCAGUGUAAAGUCUACUUUACAUACCGACAAAGAAACUGUUUAAAACUAUUUCAAAAUAUAUGCCGAACAAACAAACAAAAAUAUAUGAUCAGAAAUCUAAGUCUUAAUCCAAGACAUUCUGUCAUGCUCUUUCUGUUUAAACAGAAUAUUAAACUUCUUUUGACAAUUUUACAAAUACUGUCAAGAAACUAUGUUGCUUAUUUAUUGUAUACAAAUCCCAACAUCACAACUAAAAGUAUAUACAAAGGGAAUAAAAACCCA